UCCUUGAUGGCUCAGAUGGUAAAGUGUCUGUCUGAAAUGCAGAAGACCUGGGUUCAAUCCCUAGGUCAGGAA
rfam:Ovis aries breed Texel chromosome 10, whole genome shotgun sequence.